rnacentral:rRNA from 1 species
AGUGAACGUUGGCGGCGUGGAUUAGGCAUGCAAGUCGCGCGGAAAGGCCCCGCAAGGGGUACUCGAGCGGCGUAAGGGAUAGUAACACGUGGGUACCUACCCCCGGGACUGGGAUAGCUGCGGGAAACUGCAGGUAAUACCGGAUAACGUCGCCGGACCAAAGGUGUGAUUCCGCCCGGGGAGGGGCCCGCGUCCUAUUAGCUAGUUGGCAGGGUAACGGCCUACCAAGGCUAAGAUGGGUAGGGGGUGUGAGAGCAUGACCCCCAUCACUGGGACUGAGACACUGCCCAGACACCUACGGGUGGCUGCAGUCGAGAAUCUUCGGCAAUGGGCGCAAGCCUGACCGAGCGACGCCGCGUGCGGGAUGAAGGCCCUCGGGUUGUAAACCGCUGUCAGAGGGAAAGAAGUGCCAGGGGGUUCUCCCCUUGGUUUGACUGACCCUCAGAGGAAGUACGGGCUAAGUUCGUGCCAACAGCCGCCGUAAAAC